CUGCCACCAAUGAGGUGGUGACACCAGAAUAUGCCAUCAGCAUCCACAAGCACACCCAUGGAGGGGACGUCAAGCAGUGUGCCCCUUGGUCACUCAAAAAGUCCCAGAACUUUGCCAUGAAGGAGAUGGGGACUCCAGAUAUGCUAACACCAGGCUCAACAAAGCUGUCUGGACCAAAGGAAUAAGGAACGUUCCAUACUGUGUCCAUGUGCAGCUGUCCAGAAAGCAUGAGGAUGAAGAUUCACCAAGCAAGCUCUAUACUUUGGUUACCUGUGUACCCAUUACCACUUUCAGAAACUGACAGUCAGACAUUGUGGAUGAGAACAAA
rnacentral:lncRNA from 1 species